GUGCUUGCUUCAGCAGCACAUAUAUGAAAAUCAGAAUGAUACAGAGAUUAGCAUGGCUCAUGUGCGAGGAUGACAAGCAAAUUCAUGAAGUAUUCCAUAUUAAA